rfam:Daphnia pulex DAPPTscaffold_153_Cont6076, whole genome shotgun sequence.
GGGGUUGUAACUCAGUGGUAGAGUGUUCGCUUCGCAUGCGAAGAGCCCGGAGUUCAAUCCUCCGCGACUCCA